rnacentral:RNase_P_RNA from 1 species
CGUGGGGGUGCACCGCAUCCCCCCGAGGAACGUCCGGGCUCCAUAGGGCAGGGUGGUGGGUAACGCCCACCCGGGGUGACCCGCGGGACAGUGCCACAGAAAGCAAACCGCCGGGGACCCAGGUCCUCGGUAAGGGUGAAACGGUGGUGUAAGAGACCACCAGCCUCCGAGGUGACUCGGAGGGCUAGGUAAACCCCACCCGGAGCAAGGUCAAGAGGGGCCGUCGGCUGACGGCCCUGCGCGGACGUUCGAGGGCUGCCCGCCCGAGUCCGCGGGUAGACCGCACGAGGCUGCCGGCAACGACAGCCCUAGAUGGA